AAUCAGACUUAAAGUUUUUACAGUUUUUGUUUGUUCAGUUAGUAUUUGAGCUUGAGAAAAAUGAAAUCCUCCCUUUGUUUGACACCACCGACUGAGUGGCUAAAUGCUUCUCUUUAUUUUCCUCUUCAUUUUCAGUAAGGAUGAUUAUUUAGAAGCUGCUUUUUUCCCCCCUUCUCUUUUCUCUCUUUUCUUUCUUUCUUUCUUUCUGGUUAUUCUUCUUUUCGUCCCAUUGCUGGUUUCUUUCUAUGAGAGCUGAUGAAACGUUGAAAGGAAAGUUUGACGUGCCACUACAUUACCGAUUGGAAAAGGGGAAGUUGUGAAACGAGGAACGGAAAUAUGCUUCCCUUGCAGUUGCAGCACCAGUUCUGCCUCCCUAAGCUUUCCCAUCGCCAUCGUUUUCUGGGAAACAACCAACACCAUCCCCAAAGCUACACCCUUUUCAGCAAAGCUCGCCAUGCUCCAGCAUACCCCUCUCUUGUACCUAGCUCCUCCUCCUCUUCCUUUAUCUCCGGUUCCCCAGAGCAAUUGUUGGAUGCCAAAAGCAGGGAGAAUCAAAAGAGGAUAGCUGGAGUUGAUCAGGAUGAGUUACUUGAUCCUCAACUGCUAGCAGACCUUGAUAGCUGCUUUUGCGAAUUCCAAGGGGUCCACAUACACCACAAAGUGUGUGAUCCCCAAUCAGAACCAUAUAUCUCAUUCCAGACCCAGACUACUAUUUCUUCUUCUCAACUUCCUCCAGAAACCAAGAAAGUGGGCUUCCCCAUGAUUUUGUUGCAUGGAUUUGGAGCUUCUGUUUUCUCAUGGAACCGUGUUUUGAAGCCUUUGGCUGAACUCACAGGUGCCAAAGUUCUUGCCUUUGAUAGACCCGCCUUUGGCUUGACAUCCAGGCUCAUCCAUUCUUUCAAUCAUUCAAGCAUCAAUGACACAAUACCAUUGAAUCCUUACUCUAUGGCGUUUGCCGUAUUAGCUACCCUCCACUUUAUUGAUUUCUUGGCAGCUGACAAGGCAAUCCUGGUGGGGCAUUCAGCUGGCUCUCUUGUGGCAGUUAAUACAUAUUUUGAAGCUCCUGAGCGUGUUGCUGCUCUAAUCCUGGUUGCACCAGCAAUAUUGGCUCCCCCUCUGAUGCCUAAGUUUGUUGAAAGAAAUAAUAAAACUGAAAGAGCCAAACCAGAUUCAAGUAACAUGGGGAAGCAAUUCUACCAGCUGCGUAAGACUUUACUUAGGUUUAGCAUGUAUAUUGUUCAAUCCAUAAUGCAAAUUGUGAAAGGAAUUGCAGAUAUGCUCAAGUCUCUUUAUAAGAAAGCACUGUUAGCCAUUUUGCACUCCACGCUAGCUGUAAAACUGGUAAGGCUGCUAAUCGAUAAAUUUGGCAUAGCUGCCGUAAGAAGUGCAUGGUAUGAUUCAAAACAAGUUACCGAUCAUGUCCUACAUGGUUAUACAAAGCCAUUAAGAGCUAAAGGUUGGGACAGUGCUCUAGUGCAAUUCGUGGCAGCAAUGCUUACAGAUACAAGGCCACCUCUGGCUAAAAGGCUCCACAAAAUAUCAUGUCCUGUUCUGAUUAUCACAGGUGAUACAGAUCGUAUUGUCCCCUCCUGGAAUGCUGAGCGACUAUCCCGGACCAUUCCUGGAUCUACUCUUGAAAUAAUUAAGAAUUGUGGGCAUCUGCCUCAUGAGGAAGCAGUGGAAGAAUUUGUUUCAGUUGUUAAAAAGUUUCUGCAAAGAGUUUUUGAUGGGCAAAUGGAGCAUAGUUAGUCUUUCGGCACUCAUCCUUCAGCAUUUGUUUAGGAGCAGAAUGAUGCAUAAGGAGGGGCAAACUUGAUGCUGGCUUUGGUGUUUUUGAAUCCGAGUCGCUGAAAUGGCCUGAUUUAUAGAGUUUGAUGAUGUAAAAGCAAAAGUACUCACAUAUAAUUCUGCACGAGAUAGGCAAAUAUCCCUUCAUAUGACUUUUUUUUUUGUGCUUUGGUGAUAUGUUCAUAUAUAAUCCAGUCAGCUUCUUGACUUUAUAUGCUUUUUCCGUUCCUUUUUAUUCUUUUCCAGUAUUAGGUGUUUGACCUAAAAAAUUGCUCAUUUCUACCCCCCAUUUCUGACAAAAAUGUCUAAGAGUUAAGAUCAGGAAACCAAAAUCAAAUCUAUCAGUGACAACACAAAUAGUAGUCUUUAGGGUAUUGAAAACUUGAACCUGUCUAAUCUAUCAGCGGUGGGCUUGACUAGGAGAAUCAAGCCCAGGAGAAUCUUAGUUUCUUAGAAGAUCGUCUCCUGGAGCUCUUUGAUCAUGGGAGGGGUUUUGUUUCGAUAGCCCCUUUCUUAAAGAACAUGGGGCUUUUAGUCAAUUGGUAUUUUUGGUGUAAAUGGGGGAGAUGACGAAGACAAGAGAGCUCCAUUAUGCAAUGAUCUUAGGAAAGUGAGGCUGAGGAGGCAGGCUGACCUGUCGGUGAUUGGGAGAGACUUCAACAUGAUCCUCGUUGGGCAUGAACAUUACAAUAGCUCAAAAGAAGGAUAUAUAUGAGGAAGAGGACAUCCUGCCACAUUAUCGAUUUGUGGCAGGAUAAGAAACUUUGAUAUGAUGGCUUCAUGAUGGGUUUCUUGUUGAGCAAUUAUAAUAUCAUUAAAAACAAUAUCAGUUUAUUUAAGGAGUUCUUCUCUGAUGGAAAAUUUAUGACCAGUCUUAUAUGUACUUUCUUGUUUCUUGCUCUGAAGAUUCAAGAUGCUGGUAAUGUGAGAGCCACCCUAGAUCAAUAAGUUUGACUACUUAUACUCA